CCUACGGGAGGCUGCAGUGGGGAAUAUUGGACAAUGGGCGAAAGCCUGAUCCAGCCAUGCCGCGUGUGUGAAGAAGGCCUUCGGGUUGUAAAGCACUUUCAGUGGGGAAGAAAGCCUUGGGGCUAAUACCCUCGAGGAAGGACAUCACCCACAGAAGAAGCACCGGCUAACUCCGUGCCAGCAGCCGCGGUAAUACGGAGGGUGCGAGCGUUAAUCGGAAUUACUGGGCGUAAAGCGCGCGUAGGCGGUCUGAUAAGCCGGUUGUGAAAGCCCCGGGCUCAACCUGGGAACGGCAUCCGGAACUGUCAGGCUAGAGUGCAGGAGAGGAAGGUAGAAUUCCCGGUGUAGCGGUGAAAUGCGUAGAGAUCGGGAGGAAUACCAGUGGCGAAGGCGGCCUUCUGGACUGACACUGACGCUGAGGUGCGAAAGCGUGGGUAGCAAACAGGAUUAGAUCCCCCGGUAGUC
rnacentral:rRNA from 1 species